GAAGACCAAGGGUACCAGCUUGGCUGGGGGAGUGAAGGAGGAGGGAGGAAGCCAGAGAUGGGAUCAGACAGCUGGGAGUGGACAAGUGGUCAAGUGAUGGUGCCAGCCAAUGAGAGGAUUGGUUAUACUAGCAAAUGACUGGAAACAACCUAAAUAUUAUCAACAGAAGUCUGAAUUAAACAAAUUAUAGCACAACCGUAUCAUGGAUUGCUGUAGCUGUAAAAUCAAACAAGGAAGUGCUCUGGAUAAUCA